UACGAAGGGGGGCUAGCGUUGCUCGGAAUCACUGGGCGUAAAGGGUGCGUAGGCGGGUUUUUAAGUCAGAGGUGAAAUCCUGGAGCUCAACUCCAGAACUGCCUUUGAUACUGAGGAUCUUGAGUUCGGGAGAGGUGAGUGGAACUGCGAGUGUAGAGGUGAAAUUCGUAGAUAUUCGCAAGAACACCAGUGGCGAAGGCGGGUCUCUGGGCCGAUACUGACGCUGAGGAGCGAAAGCGUGGGGAGCGAACAGG
rnacentral:rRNA from 1 species